UGGGGAAUAUUGGGCAAUGGGGCGAAAGCCUGACCCAGCAACGCCGCGUGAAGGAAGAAGGUCUUCGGAUUGUAAACUUCUUUUAUGAGGGACGAAGGACGUGACGGUACCUCAUGAAUAAGCCACGGCUAACUACGUGCCAGCAGCCGCGGUAAUACGUAGGGAGCAAGCGUUAUCCGGAAUUACUGGGUGUAAAGGGAGUGUAGGCGGGACUGUAAGUCAGAUGUGAAAUAUGCCGGCUCAACUGGCAGACUGCAUUUGAAACUGUGGUUCUUGAGUGAAGUAGAGGUAAGCGGAAUUCCUGGUGUAGCGGUGAAAUGCGUAGAUAUCAGGAGGAACAUCAGUGGCGAAGGCGGCUUACUGGGCUUUAACUGACGCUGAGGCUCGAAAGCGUGGGGAGCAAACAGGAUUAGAUACCCUGGUAGU
rnacentral:rRNA from 1 species